UACGUAGGGGGCGAGCGUUAUCCGGAUUUAUUGGGCGUAAAGUGUGCGUAGGCGGUUUAUUAAGUCUAAGAUUAAAGCCCGAGGCUUAACCUCGGUUCGUUUUAGAAACUGGUAGACUUGAGUGUGGUAGAGGCAAGUGGAAUUUCUAGUGUAGCGGUUAAAUGCGUAGAUAUUAGAAGGAACACCAGUGGCGAAGGCGGCUUGCUGGGCCAUUACUGACGCUGAGGCACGAAAGCGUGGGGAGC
rnacentral:rRNA from 1 species